rnacentral:rRNA from 1 species
AACGCGAAGAACCUUACCUGGGCUCGAAAUGUAGUGGAAUGGGGUGGAAACAUCCCCGUCUCGCAAGAGACUGCUAUAUAGGUGCUGCAUGGCUGUCGUCAGCUCGUGUCGUGAGAUGUUGGGUUAAGUCCCGCAACGAGCGCAACCCUUAUCCCUAGUUGCCAUCGGGUCAAGCCGGGCACUCUAGUGAAACCGCCCAGGAUAACUGGGAGGAAGGUGGGGAUGACGUCAAGUCCUCAUGGCCUUUAUGUCCAGGGCUACACACGUGCUACAAUGGUCGGUACAAACCGUCGCAAACUCGCGAGAGGGAGCUAAUCGGAAAAAGCCGGCCUCAGUUCGGAUUGGAGUCUGCAACCCGACUCCAUGAAGCUGGAAUCGCUAGUAAUCGCGGAUCAGAACGCCGCGGUGAAUACGUUCCCGGGCCUUGUACACACCGCGCAUA